rnacentral:rRNA from 1 species
CAGUAGCCGCGGUAAUACGGAGGGAGCUAGCGUUGUUCGGAAUUACUGGGCGUAAAGCGCACGUAGGCGGCUUUGUAAGUUAGAGGUGAAAGCCUGGAGCUCAACUCCAGAACUGCCUUUAAGACUGCAUCGCUUGGAUCCAGGAGAGGUGAGUGGAAUUCCGAGUGUAGAGGUGGAAUUCGUAGAUAUUCGGAAGAACACCAGUGGCGAAGGCGGCUCACUGGACUGGUAUUGACGCUGAGGUGCGAAAGCGUGGGGAGCAAACAGGAUUAGAUACCCGAGUAGUCCCUGUCUCUUAUAU